rnacentral:rRNA from 1 species
GGACGAACGCUGGCGGCGUGCCUAAUACAUGCAAGUCGAACGCUUUUUCUUUCACCGGAGCUUGCUCCACCGAAAGAAAAAGAGUGGCGAACGGGUGAGUAACACGUGGGUAACCUGCCCAUCAGAAGGGGAUAACACUUGGAAACAGGUGCUAAUACCGUAUAACACUAUUUUCCGCAUGGAAGAAAGUUGAAAGGCGCUUUUGCGUCACUGAUGGAUGGACCCGCGGUGCAUUAGCUAGUUGGUGAGGUAACGGCUCACCAAGGCAACGAUGCAUAGCCGACCUGAGAGGGUGAUCGGCCACACUGGGACUGAGACACGGCCCAGACUCCUACGGGAGGCAGCAGUAGGGAAUCUUCGGCAAUGGACGAAAGUCUGACCGAGCAACGCCGCGUGAGUGAAGAAGGUUUUCGGAUCGUAA